rnacentral:rRNA from 1 species
AUGCGUCCAUAUGAUCUGUUUGCUACUACUUUGCAUUGCAUGAUACCAUCAAUUAAGCUAGACCUGAAAAACUGUUUGCUUGGACAUGAUCAUACAUACCCUGUUAUUGGCAUUUCUCUCAUUUAUGAUGACACUUAUUCUCCUUAUGCUAGUCCUAUGCUUAAUGAAACAUAUCAUUCCCAUGCUAGUCUUGAGUUUAAUGAUAAAUUUCAUCCUCAUGUUAGUGUCGACCUUGCUGAUUUCUACCAUCCUAAACAUGUGUUUUAUAGCUAUGCUUAUUUAAUUGGAUACUCAAUUGAUGACUUAGAGGGUAUUAUCCCUACCACUUGCAUUGUCUCUUUUGUUGAGUGCCUUUUCAGGUUUUUGCUUCUGCAUCAUUCACUUCAUGCUGACCAGGUUCGAGGUGACAUUCCUUGGGACCCUGGUGGACCCAAAGCAUGGCGAUGA